GUACGCGAAAGGAUCUUUGAAGUGAAAUCGAGUAGGACGGAGCACGAGAAACUUUGUCUGAACAUGGGGGGACCAUCCUCCAAGGCUAAAUACUACUGACUGACCGAUAGUGAACCAGUACCGUGAGGGAAAGGCGAAAAGAACCCCGGAGAGGGGAGUGAAAUAGAACCUGAAACCGUAUGCGUACAAGCAGUGGGAGCCUACUUGUUAGGUGACUGCGUACCUUUUGUAUAAUGGGUCAGCGACUUAUAUUCAGUGGCGAGCUUAACCGAAUAGGGUAGGCGUAGCGAAAGCGAGUCUUAAUAGGGCGUUUAGUCGCUGGGUAUAGACCCGAAACCGGGCGAUCUAUCCAUGAGCAGGUUGAAGGUUAGGUAACACUGACUGGAGGACCGAACCCACUCCCGUUGAAAAGGUAGGGGAUGACUUGUGGAUCGGAGUGAAAGGCUAAUCAAGCUCGGAGAUAGCUGGUUCUCCUCGAAAGCUAUUUAGGUAGCGCCUCAUGUAUCACUCUGGGGGGUAGAGCACUGUUUCGGCUAGGGGGUCAUCCCGACUUACCAAACCGAUGCAAACUCCGAAUACCCAGAAGUGCCGAGCAUGGGAGACACACGGCGGGUGCUAACGUCCGUCGUGAAAAGGGAAACAACCCAGACCGCCAGCUAAGGUCCCAAAGUUGUGGUUAAGUGGUAAACGAUGUGGGAAGGCUUAGACAGCUAGGAGGUUGGCUUAGAAGCAGCCAUCCUUUAAAGAAAGCGUAAUAGCUCACUAGUCGAGUCGGCCUGCGCGGAAGAUGUAACGGGGCUCAAACCACACACCGAAGCUGCGGGUGUCACGUAAGUGACGCGGUAGAGGAGCGUUCUGUAAGCCUGUGAAGGUGAGUUGAGAAGCUUGCUGGAGGUAUCAGAAGUGCGAAUGCUGACAUGAGUAACGACAAUGGGUGUGAAAAACACCCACGCCGAAAGACCAAGGGUUCCUGCGCAACGUUAAUCGACGCAGGGUUAGUCGGUUCCUAAGGCGAGGCUGAAAAGCGUAGUCGAUGGGAAACAGGUUAAUAUUCCUGUACUUCUGGUUACUGCGAUGGAGGGACGGAGAAGGCUAGGCCAGCUUGGCGUUGGUUGUCCAAGUUUAAGGUGGUAGGCUGAAAUCUUAGGUAAAUCCGGGGUUUCAAGGCCGAGAGCUGAUGACGAGUCGUCUUUUAGAUGACGAAGUGGUUGAUGCCAUGCUUCCAAGAAAAGCUUCUAAGCUUCAGGUAACCAGGAACCGUACCCCAAACCGACACAGGUGGUCGGGUAGAGAAUACCAAGGCGCUUGAGAGAACUCGGGUGAAGGAACUAGGCAAAAUGGCACCGUAACUUCGGGAGAAGGUGCGCCGGCUAGGGUGAAGGAUUUACUCCGUAAGCUCUGGCUGGUCGAAGAUACCAGGCCGCUGCGACUGUUUAUUAAAAACACAGCACUCUGCAAACACGAAAGUGGACGUAUAGGGUGUGACGCCUGCCCGGUGCCGGAAGGUUAAUUGAUGGGGUUAGCGCAAGCGAAGCUCUUGAUCGAAGCCCCGGUAAACGGCGGCCGUAACUAUAACGGUCCUAAGGUAGCGAAAUUCCUUGUCGGGUAAGUUCCGACCUGCACGAAUGGCGUAACGAUGGCGGCGCUGUCUCCACCCGAGACUCAGUGAAAUUGAAAUCGCUGUGAAGAUGCAGUGUAUCCGCGGCUAGACGGAAAGACCCCGUGAACCUUUACUGUAGCUUUGCACUGGACUUUGAGCCUGCUUGUGUAGGAUAGGUGGGAGGCUUUGAAGCGUGGACGCCAGUUCGCGUGGAGCCAUCCUUGAAAUACCACCCUGGCAUGCUUGAGGUUCUAACUCUGGUCCGUGAUCCGGAUCGAGGACAGUGUAUGGUGGGCAGUUUGACUGGGGCGGUCUCCUCCUAAAGAGUAACGGAGGAGUACGAAGGUGCGCUCAGACCGGUCGGAAAUCGGUCGCAGAGUAUAAAGGCAAAAGCGCGCUUGACUGCGAGACAGACACGUCGAGCAGGUACGAAAGUAGGUCUUAGUGAUCCGGUGGUUCUGUAUGGAAGGGCCAUCGCUCAACGGAUAAAAGGUACUCCGGGGAUAACAGGCUGAUACCGCCCAAGAGUUCAUAUCGACGGCGGUGUUUGGCACCUCGAUGUCGGCUCAUCACAUCCUGGGGCUGAAGCCGGUCCCAAGGGUAUGGCUGUUCGCCAUUUAAAGUGGUACGCGAGCUGGGUUUAGAACGUCGUGAGACAGUUCGGUCCCUAUCUGCCGUGGACGUUUGAGAUUUGAGAGGGGCUGCUCCUAGUACGAGAGGACCGGAGUGGACGAACCUCUGGUGUUCCGGUUGUCACGCCAGUGGCAUUGCCGGGUAGCUAUGUUCGGAAAAGAUAACCGCUGAAAGCAUCUAAGCGGGAAACUUGCCUCAAGAUGAGAUCUCACUGGGAACUUGAUUCCCCUGAAGGGCCGUCGAAGACUACGACGUUGAUAGGCUGGGUGUGUAAGCGUUGUGAGGCGUUGAGCUAACCAGUACUAAUUGCCCGUGAGGCUUGACCAU
rnacentral:rRNA from 1 species